UACGUAUGGGGCAAGCGUUGUUCGGAAUUACUGGGCGUAAAGGGCUCGUAGGCGGCCAACUAAGUCAGACGUGAAAUCCCCAGGCUCAACCUGGGAACUGCGUCUGAUACUGGAUGGCUUGAAUCCGGGAGAGGGAUGUGGAAUUCCAGGUGUAGCGGUGAAAUGCGUAGAUAUCGGGAGGAACACCUGAGGCGAAGGCGGGCUACUGGGCCGAUACUGACGCUGAUGUGCGAAAGCCAGGGGAGCGAACGGG
rnacentral:rRNA from 1 species